rnacentral:tRNA from 1 species
GAGGGUAUAGCUCAAGUGGUAGAGCGCAUGCUUAACAUGCAAAAGGUCCUGGGUUCAGUCCCCAGUACCUCCU